rnacentral:rRNA from 1 species
AUUGAACGCUGGCGGCAGGCCUAACACAUGCAAGUCGAGCGGUAACACAGAGAGCUUGCUCUCGGGUGACGAGCGGCGGACGGGUGAGUAAUGUCUGGGAAACUGCCUGAUGGAGGGGGAUAACUACUGGAAACGGUAGCUAAUACCGCAUAACGUCGCAAGACCAAAGAGGGGGACCUUCGGGCCUCUUGCCAUCAGAUGUGCCCAGAUGGGAUUAGCUAGUAGGUGGGGUAACGGCUCACCUAGGCGACGAUCCCUAGCUGGUCUGAGAGGAUGACCAGCCACACUGGAACUGAGACACGGUCCAGACUCCUACGGGAGGCAGCAGUGGGGAAUAUUGCACAAUGGGCGCAAGCCUGAUGCAGCCAUGCCGCGUGUAUGAAGAAGGCCUUCGGGUUGUAAAGUACUUUCAGCGGGGAGGAAGGUGAUGAGGUUAAUAACCUCAUCGAUUGACGUUACCCGCAGAAGAAGCACCGGCUAACUCCGUGCCAGCAGCCGCGGUAAUACGGAGGGUGCAAGCGUUAAUCGGAAUUACUGGGCGUAAAGCGCACGCAGGCGGUCUGUCAAGUCGGAUGUGAAAUCCCCGGGCUCAACCUGGGAACUGCAUUCGAAACUGGCAGGCUAGAGUCUUGUAGAGGGGGGUAGAAUUCCAGGUGUAGCGGUGAAAUGCGUAGAGAUCUGGAGGAAUACCGGUGGCGAAGGCGGCCCCCUGGACAAAGACUGACGCUCAGGUGCGAAAGCGUGGGGAGCAAACAGGAUUAGAUACCCUGGUAGUCCACGCCGUAAACGAUGUCGACUUGGAGGUUGUGCCCUUGAGGCGUGGCUUCCGGAGCUAACGCGUUAAGUCGACCGCCUGGGGAGUACGGCCGCAAGGUUAAAACUCAAAUGAAUUGACGGGGGCCCGCACAAGCGGUGGAGCAUGUGGUUUAAUUCGAUGCAACGCGAAGAACCUUACCUACUCUUGACAUCCAGAGAACUUUCCAGAGAUGGAUUGGUGCCUUCGGGAACUCUGAGACAGGUGCUGCAUGGCUGUCGUCAGCUCGUGUUGUGAAAUGUUGGGUUAAGUCCCGCAACGAGCGCAACCCUUAUCCUUUGUUGCCAGCGGUCCGGCCGGGAACUCAAAGGAGACUGCCAGUGAUAAACUGGAGGAAGGUGGGGAUGACGUCAAGUCAUCAUGGCCCUUACGAGUAGGGCUACACACGUGCUACAAUGGCGCAUACAAAGAGAAGCGACCUCGCGAGAGCAAGCGGACCUCAUAAAGUGCGUCGUAGUCCGGAUUGGAGUCUGCAACUCGACUCCAUGAAGUCGGAAUCGCUAGUAAUCGUAGAUCAGAAUGCUACGGUGAAUACGUUCCCGGGCCUUGUACACACCGCCCGUCACACCAUGGGAGUGGGUUGCAAAAGAAGUAGGUAGCUUAACCUUCGGGAGGGCGCUUACCACUUUGUGAUUCAUGACUGGGGUG